rnacentral:rRNA from 1 species
CGGAUUGUAGGCUGCAACCCGCCUGCAUGAAGUUGGAAUUGCUAGUAAUCGCGGAUCAGCAUGCCGCGGUGAAUACGUUCCCGGGGAUUGUACACACCGCCCGUCACACCAUGAGAGUCGGGAACACCCAAAGUCCGUAGUCUAACCGCAAGGAGGACGCGGCCUAAGGUGGGUUCGAUAAUUGGGGUGAAGUCGUAACAAGGUAGC